rnacentral:tRNA from 1 species
GGUGGUUAUAUCUUAAUUGGUUAAAGAGUUAGAUUGUGAUUUUAAAAAUUAUGAGUUCAAGUCUCAUUAUCCACCA